CUUAACCCCUAAACCCCUAUCCCUUAAUCUCCAACCUCUAAACCUUAAACUCAAACCAUUAAACCAAGUACCCUUAACCUUUCACCCUUGUCCCCUAAACCCUAUACCGUAAACAUGAACUAUGAACCCUAACUCAUCGAGACCCUUAACCUUAAACCCCAACACUUGAACCACAAACCAUACACAAACCAUAAUCCUUAAACCCUAAACCUUAACUCAUAAAACAUAAACUAUAAACCCUUAACCCGUAACACCUAUACAUUAAACCCCAG
rnacentral:lncRNA from 1 species